AAAGUAUAAAACGAGGUGAAAAUCACUACAAGUCUGGGCAUGUUGAGAGCUGUACAUACACGAAAAGGGAGUUAGUGAGUUCUGUAAGAGCCAGAAUGCUGGACCAGCUUUACAAGGUUUCACUGCACUUCACAGACCGGAGUAUCUGCUACUGUGGACCACGAAGGAGGCGAUCAUCAUCCCCAUCCCCAAAGACCCUGCAUGGCAUGGAAAUCUCCUCCUCCUGGAAAAAUUCUACACCCAGCAUAUGCUCCCUGUGUUGGCCAGUAGAGAGGAGGACAUUUAAAUAAACAUACUCUUAACACCCUCGGA